rnacentral:rRNA from 1 species
GACGAACGCUGGCGGCGUGCUUAACACAUGCAAGUCGAACGGAAAGGCCCUGCUUUUGUGGGGUGCUCGAGUGGCGAACGGGUGAGUAACACGUGAGUAACCUGCCCUUGACUUUGGGAUAACUUCAGGAAACUGGGGCUAAUACCGGAUAGGAGCUCCUGCUGCAUGGUGGGGGUUGGAAAGUUUCGGCGGUUGGGGAUGGACUCGCGGCUUAUGAGCUUGUUGGUGGGGUAGUGGCUUACCAAGGCUUUGACGGGUAGCCGGCCUGAGAGGGUGACCGGCCACAUUGGGACUGAGAGACGGCGCAGACUCCUACGGGAGGCAGCAGGGGGGAAUAUUGCACAAUGGGCGGAAGCCUGAUGCAGCAACGCCGCGUGCGGGAUGACGGCCUUCGGGUUGUAAACCGCUUUCGCCUGUGACGAAGCGUGAGUGACGGUAAUGGGUAAAGAAGCACCGGCUAACUACGUG